rnacentral:lncRNA from 1 species
UUUUUUUUUUUUUUAAUGAUUUUUUUUUCCAUUAUAGCUGGUUUACAGUGUUCUUUCAAUUUUCUACUGUAUAGCAAAGUGACCCAGUCACACAAACAAAUAUGUAUUCUUUUUCUCACAUUAUCCUCCACCACGCUUCAUCACAAGUGACUAGAUAUAGUCCCAGUGCUAUACAGCAGGAUCUCAUGGCUUAUCCAUUCCAAAGGCAACAGUUUGCAUCUAUGAACGCCAGAUUCUGAGUCCAUCCCAGUCCCUAUCCCUCCCUCUCAGCAACCACAGGUCAGUUCUCCAAGUCCAUGAGUUUCUUUUCUGUGGAAAGAUUCAUUUGUGCCAUAUAUUAGAUUCCAGAUAUAAGUGAUAUCAUGUGGUAUUCGUCUCUUUCUGACUUCACUUAUAUGAGAGUCUCUAGUUCCAUCCAUGUUGCUGCAAAAGGCAUUAUUUUGUUCUUUUUUAUGUCUGUGUAGUAUUCCAUUGUGUUACAUACACACCUUCUUAAUCCAUUCAUCUGUUGAUGGACAUUUAGGUUGUUUCCAUGCCUUGGCUAUUGUGAAUAGUGCUGCAAUGAACAUACAGGUGCAUGUGUCUUUUUCAAGGAAAGUUUUGUUUGAAUAUAUGCCCCAGAGUGGGACUGAGGCAGCAUAUGGUAGCUGUAUAUUUAGUUUUCUGAGGUACCUCCAUAUCCAUCUAGUUUCAAUGAGAGAUUUCUAUACGCUCUGUGAUCCUCAAUUAUGUGGCCAUUUACUAAUACUGAUUUGAAAAGGUAAUGGAGGCUUUAAAGGAAAUACUCUAUUAAGUCACUGCUAUCAAAGUCAGCAUCUUCCAAGUCGACAGUGUUGCAGAUAUCUUUCAUCCCAUGGUCUGAUGAUCUGGAGCAGAGAUCAUAUGUCCUGAUCAUCAUUAUUUUCCUCAGGGCUGGUAUAACAUCUCCAGGGAGUAGAGCUUCAAUAAAAUGUGUUGGAUAGAUGUGUUGCAAUGUCCCAGCAUUAGAGUUGGGAAAUACAAGCUCCAAUACCCUACAUUUUUCUUAUUUUUCUGAAAAAUCUGAGUCCAGGGGAAAUGAAAAUUUUCUCUAUAGCCACCAAACAAGAUAAUAAUAGAAUACUAAGUAUAAAAAGGAAUGAAAUUUCAAGAAACAGCCCCAUUCGACUAGCUUUUAAAUAUGCCUUUCUUUGAGAAGCCUCUGGAUCAGCCAAGGUUGGGCUGGAAAGCAGCACCUGAGGUGUUUCAAUGACUUUAUUGUUGGGUAUGAAUUUUGCAGGUAAUGGAAAAGCCAAGGAGACUAUUGAGGGGCUGGGGGCAAGAGACUAGGAAAGGCAAGAGCCCUACAGGUAGAAGUCAGCGUUUCUAGAGCCAAGGAGCUGGGCCACUGGGAGGAAGCCAGAGCAGAGGGCUUGCCCAGCAGGACCUGCAGCCAUGCAGGAGACACAGAAGCUCCUGCUGCCAAUGCUGCUCUGGGCAGAGAGAUGAGGGAGAAAGACUGUGUGUCUUCUCAUCUGGCUCUUCAGUUUUCCACCUUGCCUUGUCACUGGUCUCCUUGGAAGCCAGGAGAUGUAGAAGCCUAGGAAAUACUCCUCCCCGAGUUACCACGCAGGGCAGAGAAGGGCAGAAAAUGCAUGUAAAGAAAAGAGGCAAACAACCCAUACACCUGCUCUUAUGCUUUCUGACAGAGUUAGCCUCUCCCUCCUAUGUACCCACACAGCACAUGGGCCAAGAAUUAUUCUAACACCCAUCCUAUUACACGGUUAUGCUUUGCUUUAUUAUAUCUUAUAUUUCCCAGCUCUAAUGCUGGGACAUUGCAAUUUUUGAAUAGAAGAUUUUUGAAUGAAUGGAUAAAUAAAUGGUUGAUUUCAUUCAACUUCAACAAAUAUUUAUGGAGCAUUUACACUGGGCCAUGAUGUUCUCAUUGAUUCCACCUAGGUGAUUUCAUUCACAGAAUGUCCUGAAAGGCUUCUUAUCGCAUGUUCCUCGUCUCAAACUGCCAAUUCUCUGCGAGUCAUGGUUUCCUCUGGGUAGAUGCCCAGAAGUGGGAUCGCUGGAUCAAAUCGUAGACACAUGUACUCCGAUGUUCACGCAGCACUCUUUUCAAUAGCCAAGACAUGGAAACAACCUAAAUGUCCAUUGACAGAGGAGUGGAUCAAGAAGAGGUGGUACAUAUACACAAUAGAAUAUUACUCAGCCAUUAAAAGGAACAAAAUACCAGCAUUUUCAGCAACAUGGAUGGACCUAGAAACUAUCAUGCUAAGUGAAGUCAGCCAUACAAUGAGACACCAACAUCCAAUGCUUUCACUGACAUGUGGAAUCUGAAAAAAAGGACAGAAUGAACUUCUUUGCAGAACAGAUACUGACUCACAGACUCUGAAAAACUUAUGGUCUUCAAAGUUUUGGAGUUGGGGGGGUUGGGGGAUGUGCUUGGGUUGUGGACUGGAAAUCCUAUAAAAUUGGAUUGUGAUGAUCAUUGUACAACUACGGAUGUAAUAAAUUCAUUGAGUAAUAAAAAAAAAACUGUCAAUUCUCACCAACAAGCCAACUGUUGACAUUAAGUCCAAUGUCACACAUCAUGCUCGGUACUGGUAUCGUGUGGCUCUAGGGGUAAAAGCUCAUGGUCCUGACCUCAAGGAGCUUGUACUCUGCCAGGGGCAUGGAAGGACCAUCCAGAGAUCAUUUUGAUGCCUUUCUGGGUUAGAGUUAUACACAGGAUGCUGUGCAGUCAGAGUGGCACUUCACCCAGUCUGGGAAUUCAGGGAAACUUCUGGAAUCUUGAAAGCGGAGUAAGAGUAAAUCAGUAAAGACAGAAAGGGAAUAGCAGGAGCACAGGCAGAGCAGUAAAAUCAGUUUCUACAUGUUGUUGCAUAGGACCAGAGACAAAGCGUGGGCACGGAGGCUACAACGAGUCAUGAAAAGUAUUAUAAACAUUUAGUCUGCAGGCAAUAGGCAGACACUGGUGUCCCGUGACCCACUCUGGCCGCAGCCUGGAAGAGAGAUUUAAAAUAAAACUGGAUGCAGUGAAAAGGUCAUACAGAUCCUACAGAAACCAGAAAACAUCAAAGCCCAUGUAUAAAAAUGCAUUCACAUCAGCAUUGCUUCUAAGCAUGCAAAUCUGAAAAAUACACAGCCACUUUUAAAAGUCUUUGUAUAUCAAAAACUGAUUUCUGGAGUUCCCGCUGUGGUGCAGGGAGUUAAGAAUCCAACUGCAGUGGUUCAGGUCAACCCCUGGCCCAGCACAAUGGGUUCAGGAAGCCAGUGUUGCCACAGCUGACACCUAGGUUGCAGCUGUGGCUCUGAUUCAGCCCCUGGCUUGGGAACUUCCAUAUGCUGUGCGUGUGCCCAUAAAAUUGAAAAAAAAACAAAACAAAACAAAAAAAAAACCUGAUUUUAAUUUCUAAAAUCUUAUAUUGGAAAGUGAUUUUGUCUUUAUGUCUGUGUGCCUGUGUGUACAUGUUCCACACUAUUUUUGUAAGAGAUCCACAAUUAUAAUUAUUCGGCAAGGACAGAUUCAGACUCUACCACGCCCCAGGUGCUGGAUGUGAAAGCCAAGCCCUGGAUUGCAAAGGAGACAGAUAAUCUCCUGGGCACCUCACCAAGCCUGGGGCAGCUCAAGGGUGGAUGUAUCCGCACAGAGACUUCUAACACCCUGUGGUUUUCUCUGGUUAGAGAACUGUAACUAUUUUCUCCUUGAACUUCGUAACAUAUGCCUUCUUAGAGUGUGAGGAUGUGUCUAAUUAUACCUAACAUUCCUUCUCGCAUCACAAUCAUCUCUCGAUGACGUGGUUACUUUCUCCUAAGUGUGUGCGAAUUUCCCAUAUAAUCGGAAGUAUGCUCUUUCCUUAACCCUCGGUAAUAGGAAUUAAUCUCUCGAUGACGUGGUUACUUUCUCCUAAGUGUUUGCGAAUUUCCCAUAUAAUCAGAAGUAUGCUCUUUCCUUAUUUCCAAGUAAUAGGAAUUAAUUUCACUCACAGUUGCACUAUUCUUUCUAUGUACUGGGCUACCCCCUCCACCAAAAAAUAAAUAACAAGAAUUUACUAAAUAUUCUGGAGAUGGCGGCUCUCAUCAAUUUUGUAUCUCUGGCAUCUGCCCCACUACCAUGGCCAGUAAAUGUCCAAUUAAAUAAAGCUGUAUUUUAAAAAUUCAGUUUUUAAGUGAAUAGGCAGACCACCCUCUGUCCAAUCCUUUCAUUUCUCACUUUUGGGCUAAUUUUGUAUUUUCAAACAAUUCUUAUAUCUAUUUUUACUCUCCCCCACCAAGCUGGAUGUGCUGUGCUGCACAUCACAACAAUUUCAGUGUUUUCAUGGUCUGCUGCAGGUUGAAUGCGGUCAUCCCAAAAGAAUACUGAAGUUCUAGAUCCUAGUACCCACGACUGUGGCCUGAUUUAGAAAAAGGGUCUUGGGAUAUCAUCAAGUAAGGAUGAGGACAUUAGAGUGGGCCUAAUCCAACGUUAAGCGGUAACUUUAUAAAAAGGUGAAACUUGGACACAGACACAUUCAACAGGAAGAGUGCCAUGUGAAAAUGAAGUCAGAGAUCCGAGGGACGCUUCUGUAAAUAGCCAAGGAAGAACAGAGAUUGCCAAUAAACCAUAGUAUC